CAAAACAAGCAAGAAUUUUUAAAAAGUCACUCAGAUCAGAAGGUCCCCUUAUCUUACUGCUGGCAUAUCCGAGCUGACAGAUCGGCUUGAGGUACAUAUAAGUAUCUAGACUCCCAAGCUUGUCAAAAGAUUCUCCCUGUCCCCACAGACCUUAGCCUCCAUCAAAGCCCAUAAAUACUGAAGAGAGAAAGUGGGAGAAAGACAUUCAACUAGAUUUUCAGGUAACUCAGUGACAAAGCAAUGCUAAGGAUCCAUGACUUCCGUUUCUUGAUGCAGGAAACUUACCAAAGGAAAUGAGAACAGAGUGAAAGGGGCAGCAGGAGAUUCAAGGCGCGCGUCCAAACGAGACUUUAAAUGAGACGAUCCUUCCACGUUCUGAGCUAAGAUCAACCCACCCUGCUUAGCACACUGACUCUUUUUGCUUCCUCUAGGAAACAAACGAUGGUGCAAUUGAUUUUGAUUAUACUGUUCUACUCCAUGAAUUCUCAACGCAGGAAAUCAUUCCCUGUCGUAUUCACUUGGUCUGGUCCCCUGGCAAACCACUUACAGUGAAGUACCACUGUCAAGAGCUGCUGGCACCAGAAGACGCCUCUGGAACUGAAGAAGGAUCAGCUGUGGCACCAACAGAGCUUAGUAAUUUCUGAAAAGAAAAGAAAGAUCUGUUUAUACCAAGUUCUACACAAAAUGACCAUACCGAAUAGCCUGAAUCAUUAUUCUAGUAAAAUAGCUAAGGCAUAGGCUUUUUGAUUAUUUGGGAAAGACUGUGAUUUCAAGUAAAUACUCAAAAAUUAAAAGAUGUUGGGAUUUUUGUUUUUCAGUGGGUUUCACUUCGUUUUAGCUCUGGGUGCACGUGCAUACUCAAUUCUGUUCUUAACAGUCACCCCACAGGCUCCUCAGGGUUGCGGUCCUAAAACGUACAACCCAGUCAAUUAGUACAUGACACAACUGGAUCAGCAAGUAUUUUAACCAAACAAAAAUUGAGGGUAUUACCUCUAAAUCUGCAUUUCUCAUUAUUUUGAACAUACUGUAGCCAACUAUUUUAUGUUGCUAAAUUGCUUCUACCUAGUAUGUAAAAAGAUAUAUAUUUCAACAAAAGCAAAUUGUAGGGAAUCUAUUACCUAUAUUAUUAAGAAGAAUUGUACUAUUUUUUAUGAUUUCAAGCAAGUAUUCCUUUUUAACUUGAUAUUUACUUUUAAAUAAAUGUUUAUCUUUCUAAAUAAAAUAUUUUAAAUGUG